UACAGUUAUGGCAGUUAGUUGAACAGUCUUAACAGUUAGAGCAGCAGGUAUGUCGUAUUGUGCUGCUGUCUGCCUCAGAGUUAGUUAGUCUAUAAGAGUUUAAUCUAUGCAAGAUGUUUUAGCAAUUUAAGUAUCACCGACCUGCAUUGUAUAUUUAAUCUGCAAGUGCAAGUAUGAUCAGUAACAGUUGUAUGUUAUUUAAACUUUAAAAGAGAGUACAGUGGUACCUCAGGUUAAGUACUUAAUUCGUUCUGGAGGUCUGUUCUUAACCUGAAAGUGUUCUUAACCUGAAGCACCACUUUAGCUAAUGAGGUCUCCUGCUGCCGCCGCGCCGCCGGAGCACGAUUUCUGUUCUCAUCCUGAAGCAAAGUUCUUAACCUGAAGCACUAUUUCUGGGUUAGCGGAGUCUGUAACCUGAAGCGUAUGUAACCUGAGGUACCACUGUAGUUUUUAUAGGAGGGAAAAGAGAACUAAUUAAAGGGUCAAAUGGCCCAGGCCUGUCUUCCAUAUACUUUGAGUCUUAAUUCCCACAAAAACUGCAAUGAUUGUAUCCAUGGACUUCAAAACAGCACAUAUUUUCUUUGUUUCCUAGAAUUUCUGAGCAAACAACAGCAACGAGGAUGCCAGUGUUCUUUAUUUGAACUCCUGAUCCAUCUUCUCUGCAUUUCAGAGAUCUGUAUUACAAAGGUUGGCAUGUGUUUUUUCACAUUCCGCUGCAAUUAGAUUCGAGUCCAGAUGUGAUUGCCUUACGAUGGAACUCUUGCAUCUUCAUUAAUGCGACUCACUGGCAAACCACAAAUCUGCUACAGCAUACCUGUCAAUCCAAUGCAAGUAUAGCUUUUAUAUGGCAAUAAGUAGAUUCUAUUUCAGCAUGUACUCCAAAUGCCAGGAGACAACUGAAUGGGUUGUGAGUAAAUGGAGAUGCAUCGCACUACUUCAGGCAAUGCUUUCCUUGAUUUUCUGAACCGCUUGAGAAGCCCUGCAAAAGAUUAUCCUAACAAAAGCUGCUCAGAGGACUAAUGUAACAUAGAAGUAGACAUAACAGAAACAGAUCACUGGUUCCCAGACAAAUGAGGGCAUCUGCAUGGAUGGAGCAUAUCCAAGAGCCAUUUCUGUAGCAAAUGAUUCCCUGGGUCUCAGCGGAUCUCAUCCUCUACCCUUUAAAGGAAGAGGAAAAAGGCAGAGAAAAUGGGAUGGAUGAUUACUGGUGGCAUGCUUUGCUCAGUGAUAUAUACACAACGCAAAGUACAGCACAGCAAGAGAAAACUUUACAUUGUUCAUAGGAGGCUGAUUCAUUCUGCAAAAAACAAUAAUAAUAUUGGUCUUUGGUCUAACAAAAAAUGUGGGAAGUAUCUAGGUCUAUGUGAGCAGAGCUCCUUUUUUGCGAAAUCAGCUGUUUGGCAGGGAAGGAGUAGGAGAGCAUAUUGGAUCCAUUCCAGCACCCAUUUCUAAACUGUUAAUCGGUCAAUCCUGGCCCAACUGCACUGGCUUCCAAUUGGUUUCCGGUGCUGGUUUUGACUUCUAAAGGCUUAAACAGCUCAGGACAGCAAUAUCUCAAGGACCACCUCUCCCCAUAUGAACCUACCUGGAUCUUGUGAUCAUCAUCUGAGGUCUUCAUGUGCCUCCUCCACGAGAGUUCUGGAGGGUGGCAACACAUGAAUGGGCAUUUUCUGCAAUGGCAUUUGUGGAAUGCUCUCCCCAAGGAGGCUUGCCUGGUGCCCUCAUUAUACACCUUUAGGUACCAGGCGAACAUGUUCCUCUUCAACCAGGCCUUUGGCUGAUUGACAUCUGAUGCCCUUUUAAAUGUGUUGUGGAGUUGGGAUUAUUGGUUUGUAGUUGUUCUUAUUUUUAUUAUGUAUUUUGUGGUUUUUAUAUUGUAAUUUUAUCUUGUGAACUGCCCCGAGAUCUACAGAUGAAGGGUGAUAUACUUACUUACUUAUUUAUUUAUUUAUAAAUAGAUUGCAUUUCACCUUGAUAAAGGGUUGUAGGCAUGAUGUUUGUGUUGUUAGAUGAGGCUUGGGGUUUGUGCAGCAUUCAAGCACACACCAGGAUCUCACUUGGAUGCAUUCUAAGUGAAACAGUGCUGAAAAUAACAAUACAUACACAUCAUAUGUUGAUGUGCAGUGUACAUUUUAUGUACUGUUAUAGACCAAGUUCAGGGAACCUGUGUUUACUGGGCUCCAUCAGCCUCAGCCAACAUACCCAGUGGUCAGAGAUGAUGUGAGUUACAAAGCAAUAGAAUCUAUAUGCCACAGGUUAGCUUAGCUACCCCUCUACUGAGAUAGUAAUGGAUAAUUUCCUCCCCCUCCUCCUCUUCUUCUUCUUCUUCAUUUUGUUCUGUUUUUCUCCGGUCCAUACUUUUAAGUGAAGUGGCCUGGAUUGGAACAUAAUUAUCCUUCUGAUUUUCUACUUCUCCAAAUUUUGUGAUAUAGUACUCGGUUCAAAAAAAUGAACUUAAGAGUCAGACAUGUACUUGAGGCAACCUAUGCUUGCCAGAAAAGAAACCAUUACAUAUAAGAACCAUUUGCUCUGUGUGUGGUUUUGUGUGUGUGUGUGUGUAAUUCUUUUUCUUAGCCUGUUAUAGCUGUGUCUAGUAAAACUUCAGAAUCAUUUGAACUUGUCUGAUCUUUCACUGCUUGGUCCAAAUGGUGGGGGGAACACCAGUGGACUCCAGAAAUGCACAACUUUAAAUGAGGUGGUAAGCUCAUAAAUCAUAGAAGUGUAGAGUUGGAAUGGACCCCAAGGGUCAUCUAGUUCAACCUCCUACAAUGCAGGAAUCUCAAGAUACCUGCUCCUACAGUCUGCUGACAGGAAGCAUCUAUCAGGAGGGAAGCAAUUUUUGUUAAUUACCCCUCCCACCCUAAAAAAUCUGCCCUGAGCAGUAAGACCCCCCUGGGACUGAUUUAAGGAAAGUUUAGGAGCUUCAUGAGCAGGGAGAAUUGCCAGAAAUGUAUCCCUCCCAUUUCUGCUUGCUGAUGGAUGCCUUCAGUCAAUUGAAGGACACCAAUUGGAUACCACCCAUUAUACUUAGGACCCCUUUAAAAAGAAUGGGGUUUACAUUAAUUACUUUCCUCACCAUAUAUGUAGACAUGGGUAUUACAAUGUUCUGAAGGCAUAGUCACAAAAAGCAUCUCCUCUCAUUAAUUGUCCUAAUUCUACAUUGCCUUGCUUUUUUCUCAUAGGAGCACCUAAGAAACAAGGAAGCCAGUGCUAAUAGAUAUCUCCAUAUCGCCCCUAAGCCAGAUAGCUUCAGACUCCACAUAGAUCAGCUGCCUUAUCUCAGUUAGUCUCCUUUCUCCAUAAAUUGUUAACUUGUUGUUUCAGGCCAACUAUCUGUAAUUAACUUGGUAGAUAAAUGGUAUGAGGCAAGAUUUGGAUUUUAUCUUUUGGGCUUGACAUGAAAUUGAAAUUCCCUUUGGAAGUAUUUUCUUCUUUUUGUACUUCAUUUCCUGGGUUUGGGGCCAAGUUCUAAUUUUCACUUGCUUGCUGGAGCCUGAUUUUUUUAUUUUUUAUUAUUUUCGUAUUAGUCUAAGACUCUUCUCUCUGAUCCACUGCAUUUUCUGACUGUGUUCUCAGUGUUUUGCUCUGUUCAUCGAGCUGUUCUAAAUGCAGAGUCACACCUUCAUCUUUUCCUCAAGGCCACUGUUUACAUUUAUCUUCUUUCCUUCAGGUUAAAACAAUAUACAGCCAGUUACAUACUUACACUGAGAGGCUGAAUUCUCCUUUGCUAAAAUGAUAUCAAAGCCCCCUUGCACUUUGUGACCACCUGAAGCUGGUGAAGAUCCUACUGGCUUCCCCAAGACAUAUAGGUCCCAAGGUAGGAAGGGAGUGUAAAUGUUCAGAGUAGAACUGUGAACCCUGAAAUGAUACCUGCUAUGACCUGCUUAAACUACAAAGAGCAUGAUCCAACCCAAUGUUUUGCCCUAAUUUGCGCGAAAGCUAAAAUUUUGUCAUAGUGGAUUUCAAUAGGAAAGCUAAAAUUUAAGCAUACUUUAAUUGUAAAUAAUGGAAAGCGUUGUAUCUCAGUGGUCGAAAACAUACUUUGAAUGGAAAAGCUGCCUCCUAAUGAGUCAGAUGAUCAAUCAUUCUAACUCAGUAUUGUCUAAACUGUCUGGUAAUGUUACUUCAGGGUUUCCAUUUUAGACAGGAAUUGUUCCCAGCUCCACCUGGAUAAAUCAGUGGUGUUCAAUGAGCCUGUGGUAUCUGGAGCCUGUGGAUCACACAAAAUUAGGCCAAAUGGCUCGCAAGGCACCAGUUUCCCCAUCCCAGAAGUAGAUGAUGGUUGCACUGAGUUGACUAGUUGUGCUACAUCACAAAGUAUACUGAAGACCAUCAGCUUAUAUAGUUUUUAAAAGGGAUUGGGAAAAUUCAAGGAGGGUUCAUAGAGGAUAAAGGAGAAUAAGGAGAAUAAGACUAUCAGUGGCUACGGUCCACUGGUGGUGCUGUGGUCUAAUCCACUGGGCCUUUUGGGCUUGCCGAUCAGAAGGUCGGUGGUUCGAAUCCCCAUGAUGGCAUGAGCUCCCGUUGCUCUGUCCCAGCUCCUGCCAACCUAGCAGUUUGAAAGCAUGCCAGUGCAAGUAGAUAAAUACCAUAUUUUUCACUCUAUAGGACACACUUUUUCCCCUCCAAAAGUUAAGGGGAAAUGUGUGUGCAUCCUAUGGAGUGAAUGCAGGCUCCUUGGCUUCAGCGAUAGCAACACGAAGCCUCCGAAGCGCAGAGGGAGCGCUCCCUCCGCGCUCCGGAGCCUUCACGUUGCUUUCGCUGAAGCCUGGAGAGCAAGAGGGGUCGGUGCGCACCGACCCCUCUCACUCUCCAGGCUUCAGGGAUAGCCGCCUGAAGCCUUUGGAGCGCAGUGGGAACUCGCACUGUGCUCCGAAGGCUUCGGGUUCCUUUUGCUGAAGCUGGGAGAGCAAGACUCUCCUGACUUCAGCAGAGAGGGAGAGCUGCGCAGCUCCUGCCGCUUCACUGAAGGGGCGCUGAGUGUCCUCCCCCUCUAAAACAAGGUGUGUCCUAUGGUCGGGUGCAUCCUAUAGAGCGAAAAAUACGGUAGGUGCCGCUGUGGUGGGAAGGUAAAUGGCGUUUCCAGGCAUUCUGGAUUUUGUCAUGGUGUCCUGUUACGCCAGAAGCGGUUUAGUCAUACUGGUCACAUGACCCGGAAAGCUGUCUGUGAACAAACACCGGCUCCUUUGGCCUGAAAGCAAGAUGAAUGCUGCAACCCCAUAGUCGCCUUUGACUGGACUUAACCAUCCAGGGUCCUUUACCUUUAUCUUUUUUACUGUCCGCAAUAACUAUGUUCUACAGCUACUAUCAGAGCAACUGCUUCCUGGGAACCACAAGCAGGGAGAAUGUGGAUGCACUCAUGUUCCCUCUCUGGGAUGCCCAUAGGCACCUGGUGGGUCACUGUGAGAACAGGAUGCUGGGCCACAUGGAUCUAGCAUGGAUCUUCUUACGUUAUUAAGUAAAAAUGUACAAUAUGUCACACUGUUGCCACUCUAUGAUUGCAGCCAUAGUCAAAGUAACUGUUUUACAGAAGGCAUUCUAGUAUGACCCACAAAAAAUAAAGUAAUUGUGCAUUAUUUUAUGUUGUUUAGUGAAUCAGCCUGCAAGCUCCACUGCUGGGCAGUAUUUAAAUCUUUUAAAUUAAGAAGAGUGGCAGAUUAAACUGAUUUACUAUGCCAAGUUGGCGAAAUUAACUGGGAAAAUUUGGAACCAGCAAGACCAGACUUUCCUGAAAGACUGGAAGAAAUUUAUGAUAUAUUUGAAAGACAAUUUUAAUCAACUGACAUCACUUGUAGGGUUGCAAGAAGUUUUGUAAGGAGAACCAUAUGAAUUAUUGCAAAAGAGGACUAAGAAGGAGUUUAUUUAGGAUAUGGAUUUUAUAGCAAUAACUAUUAAAAUAAAAUGCAAAAUCAGAAAGAAAGUUAGAAUACCAUUAGUCGAGGUUGAUGGAAGUCUCUGGCUGUGAUAGCCAAACGUUUGUUAUGUUGUACAGGAUGAGAUGUUAUGUUUGGAAAAAAACCAAUAAAAAUUAUAUUAAAAAAAAUCUUUUAAAUUAACAAAAUAAGAUACUUUUACAUUCUUCUGUUUUCAGUGGAAGAGAAGCUGAACGUAUGAGCAUUUCUUUAAAGUCUUGCAGAAUAGAUGUCUAUAUGGUUUUGCCUUCAAUCUCUUCUUUGAAAUGUGAAUUCCUGUUUCAGAAAGCCUGUAACUUUUCAGUAUAGCAUUGGGGACAAGAGUUCAGCAUUCUUUUUAAAGAGUUUAGUUUCUACAACUGUUCAUGUCCGGAUAUCCUACAGCUAUAAAUAUUUAGUUGUGGAAAGUAGGCUUCCCAUUUUGGUAUUGUGUAUUUGAUGCACAGCUGAGAGGUAUUGGAACGGCAUAGGAAUAAUUAAGUGUUACAGUUUUAGUUAAUGCACUCAAGCCAAUAUAUCCUGAAGGACAAAAGGCUGGAAUAAUAUUUCCCUGUAGCAGUAAAUGUUGAAAGGUGCAUAUAUUCCUAUCAUUAUGGUGGUGAUUAGAGUUGCAUUGUACAAAAUGUUUCAAAAGGCAAUUUUUAUCACAUCAUUACUAAUAUAUAGAUCUGAAGGUGAGGGCUGUUUGCAAAGAAGAACUCUUUGGGAUUUCAGCAGACCUGAAAUUUAGCUGCAAUAACUGGGAGUCAGGUAUACACCUUAAUGAAAAAUGUAUAACUAGAUAUUUACAAGUACAGAACACAGAAUCAUAGAAUCAUAGAACUGGAGAGUUGGAGGUAACGCUGAGGCUCAUCUAGUCUGACCCUCUGCAAUGCAGGAAUCUUAACUAAAGCAUCCAUGACAGAUGGCCAUCCAACCUUUGCUUAAAAACCUCCAAGUAAGGAGGGUCCAUCACCUUCCAAAUGUAUUCCAGGUGUGGUCUGAAUGGAAAAGACCAGUACUAUGACUUUCCUGGAUCUGGACACCAUACUGCUGUUGAUGCAGCCUAGAAUAGCAUUAGUUUUUUUGCUGCAUCACACUGUUGACUCAUGUCAAGGUUGUGGUCUACUAAGAACCCCUAGAUAUUCCUCACAUAUACUAAUGGCAAGCCAGAUGUCCCCCAUAUAAUAUUUGUGCCGCUGGUUAUUCCUGCCUAAGUGAGCCAGCUGCUUACUCAUUCACUAACCAAGUUUUCUUUAACCUUGUGUAAGAAAUAGGCAUGCACACACAAAAUCACAUCUCAGUUGUGAAGUAAUGUGUGAUGAGGGUGUUAGGUGUGACUAAUGUAUGCAUGUUGAUCCAAAUUAUGUGAAGCUUUCUCAAAAGAAAUGACAGCACAAGCUGGAUCUUCAAUCAGGCGGUUCCAAGACAGAAUCUGCUAUAUCUCAAGCAACUUGGAUAGAUACUUGACAAGACUUUCCUUGGUUGUUUAGGUAGAAAGUAUGAGCUGCUUCAUGAAAACAGAAAGUGAUCUACACAAAUUGUUCAGCUAUAGGCAUAUAUCCUUCUAAAGAUAACUGCAGUGCCAUCACUUUCUACAGGAGAUUAAAUUCUGAAAUAUGUCAGAGUUGAAUAAUUCUGAAGAAAAGUGUUGCGGGAAAGAAAGAAAGAAAGAAAGAAAGAAAGAAAGAUCAUAAGCAAUCAUGAAGCAUGCAACAAAUGCAAGGACAUCAGAGUACCACUUAGGUCAAUAGCCAAUCAGAUUUGACUAUGUAGCAGUGGUAAGAGCAAACAAAACCAAUGCUGUAUUCUCAGGACGCAAUGUAAUGUGUCCUCAUUGCUGAGGCAAUCGGGUUGACACCUGCUGCCAUACCAGAUUGCUUCAUCAUGGAGCAUUCAUUGCUUGUCCUCACAGCACAGCUUGGCAAAACAAGGAGCAUUGGCCUGGUUGCCUUGGCAAUGUGGGAGCUUGUUCCUUGCCUUGCUGUGAUGUAAGGGCAAUGAAACAAAUGCAGUUCAGAGUGGCGAGACAGGAUGUUGAUCCCGUUACUUUGGUGAUGGAAACACUUCUGUGAAAAUUUUGUAUGUGUGAUGUUUUGAUGAAGCUCAUUGGUUUGAUUAGCUCAGCUCUCUUCUUGACUAUAAGAUGACCUAUCUUGCUUCUCAUCAUCUUAAACUACUUCACCUUACAGCGGAACCUAAUUAUUCUGCAGUACAGCAGUACAGCAACUCUCCUUCCCAGUUACACUUCACAUUACAGUUCCAGUACAUUGGAUAGCUCCCAAGAGUAGUUUUCAUGCCUGCCAAAAUGUGAGGACAAUUUAUCUAGCUGAAUAAUAUAAAUGACCAAACACCCCAUGGAUCUGUAAACAAACCUUUGAACUGCAGAGCCAGUUCCAGAACGCUCGAUUCGCCAUCUUUCCUGGGAGUUGCCUUCAUGUCAUUAAAUACUUCUCUGCACACAACUUUGAAGAAAGGAGAGGUGAGUUGCUGUUGGUACCUCAGAGGACAUGGUGAGAGAAGCAACUCUCAGACUUAGGGAACAGCUCAACAUCAAUAUAUCCAUUUCAGCUAAAGUGGCACAAAAUGGUGACUUGAGAUUCUGGCGAUGUGGCUAAAACCUGGCAGCAAGAUUUGUCCUGGCGAUGUGCAGAAAAAAAAAUGACCCAAGACAGGCAGUCAAAAAAUGGCAUACAAAGACAAGGAUGUUGGUUAUCACCGCUGUUGUUCAUUCUGGUACUGGAAGUACUGACGAGGAAAGUAAGAGAAAAUAAAGAAAUAUUGGGAAUAAAAGUAAAAAAAAGUGAGCAUAAAUUGAAAGCCUUUGGGAUGAUCCAGUAAUCACUGUGAAAGAUCCGAAAAUCUCCCUCCCAAAAGUAAUGAACAUAAUACAAGAGUUUGGACAAGUGGCAGGAUUUAAAUUAAACAAAAAUAAGACCAAACUGCUAUUAAAAAACCUUAAAGAACAUGAGAGGAAAGAAGUAACAGAAAUGAUAGGAGUAGAAGCAUAUAAAAAGGUAAAAUAUUUGGGUGUAUGGAUAACAGCAAAAAACAUAAACAUAUAUAAAAAUGAACAGAAGAAGUGUUGGAGGUGUGAAGCUGAAGGUACUUUUUACCAUAUGUGGUGGGAUUGUAAAAAUGUAAAAACAUAUUGGGAAAUGAUAUACAAUGAAUUGAAAAAAAAUGUUGAAAAUGACAUUUGUUAAACAACCAGAAGCUUUCCUGUUAGGUAUUUUAGGUCAAGAUCUGCCAAAAGAGAAGAGGACAUUAUUCAUGUAUGCUACUACAGCAGCGAAAAAUUUGGUAGCACAAAACUGGAAGACUGGAGAAAUUCCAACAAAAGCACAAUGACAAGAGAAAUUGAUGAACUACACAGAAAUGGCAAAAUUGACAGAUAGGCUACGAGAAAAGGACAACAGUGACUUUGAAAAAGAGUGGGAACCUUUUAUAUUAUAUUUGCAGAAACAAAAAAAGAAAAUUGACUUGAAGGCAGGAUUUAAAUAAACAUACACACUUUUUAAAUAUAGAACAUUUAAAAUAAAGAAGAAACGAUAUGGUGAAUUGGUGGAAACAGCAGUAUAUGAUAAGGGAGCUGGGGGAAGCCUGGGAGGAAAGGGGAUGAAGAUUUGUAACAUGUAUGUUAUUGAUAUGAGAUGUUUGUUAAAAUACAAAAGAAAGUUAAUAAAAUUUUAUUUUUUAAAAAAUGGCACACAGGGAGGUCAGUAGAAAGCCAAGCUUUAAGAUCAGGAUGCCUUUUGUUCUUCAGAAUGAUAAAAGGUUUAUCCACCCUUACCUUUAGCCCUGCUCUUUCCAGGCACAGAUCUGCACUAGAAAGCUCUGUGUCUGUUUGUUGCCCCAGAGCUUUCCUCGUGAAAACUUGCUCUUAAGUGCUCCGUAGCAACAAACAUCAGUGUGAGCUUUCCUUGGAUUGCUGUUUGCUCUGAUUGAGCUUUAAAGAGUGGGUUUUCAUGGGAAAGCUGCAGAGAUUGAAAAAAUAAAAUAAAAGGUACUCAGACAUGAAGUUUUAAAGUGCAGACCACACCUGGAAAGAACUGUCAGGGACUGGCUGGAGGAGUGGUGGAGGGCUCCAGCCGAAGAACCCCCUAGGUAAGUAGCAGAGGAGGAAGGCUCACAAGCUGGAUUGUGGUGAUGGUACUCUGAAGACAGGUCAGAGGAGGAUGGAGGCUGGGAGGUGGAAGAAAUGACAAGCUCAAAGUGCAGAGGGAGAUACUUCAGGCCCCAGACCUAAAAGAGAGGAGGAGGAAGGGACAGAAGCUGCAACAGCUUUGCAGCAACUGCCCUGUCCCACUGUAGUAAGCUCCCCUCCCCUUUUUGACUCCAAGGUCACACAGGAGUUUGCAUGCAGCUGAAAAGAAACCUCAGAAAGUCCAUAGGAGGUUCCCUUGUCGCCAGAGUUUAUGCUGGCUUGGGAGACAUCUAGAGGAGGAGGUUUAGGAGGAGAGAGGAGGGGCCAAGAGUUAGUCUUGGCAAAGUUGCCACUUAGAACAGUUGUGCCUGGGUGCUCUUUGCUUGUAUACUAUUUUCUUAAAUAAAAGCUGACUUUACUUUGAGUUUCUAAGUCUUCAUUCUGACCUGCUGCUGAACCAGCCCUGAAAAGAGUGGAGGAAAGGUACGUGUGGAUAAGCCCAAACAGGAGACAGGCCGCAGUGCAUUGACUGAACACAUGCUUUAUAUACAGAUGCUUAAAAUGCAUUAUGGUUAGUCUUCCUGCUUUCCAGCUAAAAGUGAAUGAUAGCAAGUGGCUGAAACAACCUUUGCUGAAGUCCUUGGAAAAUUAACCACCAGAAUAGGCAGAACUGGAUUUGAUGGACCAAUCACCUGAUGAAGGCUGCAAAUAUUUCAGUGGUGCGCCUAUUGUUUUCCAACUGUCAUAUCUCUUAAUUUUCCUGGCUAAUCCUUUCCUAGCUACGGAGCUCUGUUAAAUAGAGUAGAAGCAAUUUCUCCUGUCACAAUAAUCUCCAUUUAGAUUUAGUAAGAAACCUUAAGGACCUCAAUUGCUGAUGGCUGAUUAGCUGGAAGCUGAAUUGCACUUAAUAAAACCUCUCUUCCCCCACUGAUUAAAAGCCCCACUCUCGUCUCUUAGUGCUAUGAUGAUGGUCCUCUCUCAACAGGGUAGAUGAGGGAUAGAUCACUGCAGGGGAGAGAGCAUUUCUGUCCAUGUUUUGGACAGUGAUGCUCCUGUUUUUUGUUUUCAAAUUAUCAUCAUCAUCCCCUUGAGAUAUGAUCAGUUCAACACUGGAGAAUUGUGGAAGGGAAGCAAACAGGGUGUGAUCCAUGCUGCCACAUGUGUCAUUGGGUGCAAUAUAGGAGCUGCCUUAUGUUGCAUCAGUUCCAUUAGUCCAUGGGUAGGCUAACUAAGACCUGGGGGCCGGAUCUGGCCCAAUCGCCUUCUCAAUCCAGCCCACGGACAGUCCUGGAAUCGACGUGUUUUUACAUGAGUAGAAUGUGUCCUUUUAUUUAAAAUGCAUCUCUGGGUGAUUUGUGGGGCAUAGGAAUUCAUUCACCCCCCCCAAAAUAUAUAUAUAUAUAUAGUCCAGCCCCCCACAAGGUCUGAGGGACAGUGGUUUUUUCCCUGCUGAACAAGUUUGCUGACCCCUGACUAGUCCAUCUAGCUCAGGAGUGCCUGAACUGCCUGGCAGUGACUCUCGGGGGUUUCAAGCAAGGUUCUCUCCCAGUUCUAACUGGAGAUGCCAGGGAUUGAACAUGGAAUCCUUUGCAAGCAGGGCAGAAGUUUUACCCUUCCCCAGACAACGGGACUCAGCUUUUCCCUCCUUCCCUGACAGUCAUGGGCUGAGUAUAAACUAUUGGAACCAAGCACUAUUAUGUGCCAUGUUAAGGCAAGACGGAGGAAUCUGUUCAGUCACCUUCUCACAGUUGUCCACACUGAUCUGACAGCCCUGAACACAACUACUAGAGUGGCUGGGGCAACCCAACCAGAUGGGUAGGAUAUAAAUAAUAAAUUUAUUAUUAUUAUUAUUAUUAUUAUUAUUACUCAGAUUACACUCUUCAGAGUCUGAGAUGCUCUUUUGGUACACAAAAAAGACAGACAAACAUUUAUAUUUUACAUAAAAGAUGAGUGUAAAGUGUGUGUGUGUGUGUGUGUGUGUAUUUGGAUGAAUGCAUUGAAAAGCACUGAAAAGUGCACACAAAUUAAAUACGGACUUCCUAUGCAUACUUUAAAAAAAAAUCUGCACAAAAUGGAAUGGACCUGAGACUGAGUGCCAGCCAGACUGAAACAUAAUGGAAUUAAGAUGCUCUGUCUAUUGCUAGCCAUGUCCAGCCAUUCCAGACCUCCACAAGCAAGUUACUCAUAGUCGGGAGCAGAAGAGGGAUAAUGCCCUGAAUUUAAAACCAAAAUUAGAGAACUGUUUUAAACAAGCCCACAAGGCACUGAGAAAUCUCAGCAGAAAGCAGCUGCUGUUUUUAAUACAUUUUUAACCCAAAAGAAACCCCAAACAAACCACCAGCUUUCAAGUGGUACAGUAGGAGAGCAAUUAGUCUUAAAAUACAAGGAGUUGUUGCCCAAAUCCAGCAACAUAUAGAAUCUAGAUUGACUUUUACCACUCUGAAGAGGCAAAGCCAACUGUGAAUUGGAAACAGGGACAUUCCUAGUUCUGGCAAUACAGAAAGUUCUGGACCUGCCUAUGACUAUAGGGCAAGGUGCUAAUCUUUGUUAACAGAUGGUUGCAAAGUAAGGUUAACAUGCAAUUUUAUGAUGUGCAUAUGUUUUAAAGCUGCUUUAAAACAAAACAUAGAUUUUGGGGGGUUGAUAAAUUUUAUGUCAAUUAUUUUAGCCUUUGAUUUUUCUGUAUAUUUCAUCAAUAUUUUAUAUUGUUUUGUGUAAACUGCUUAGAGGCUUAAGUGGAUGCAGGGUACAUAUGUUUUGUCAGAUGAAUAAAAAGAAGUUAUGUUGACUUAAUGCCACUGUGCGUGCAGGAUAGCAAACUAAUAGAUUCAAGUAACAAUAGCAAGAAAGCAGGGCAUAUGUGAAGCCUUUAAGUAAAAGUCACAACAUAAUCCCCCAUCUUAAAAUGUGGGGAGUUAGAAGUCCCAGAAGGUUUUAUUGGGGGUGCAGGAUUAGUGAUAUAAUCAGCAUGUAGAGUGGCUUAGGGAUUUCAGAAAAGGAGAUCAGGCUCCCUUUGUUGUCCCUGUGGAAUCAUCUGAGCAAUGGGGUCCACUGAUCAGCAGGGAAGGCAGUGAGAACAGUUGUGGCUAUUCUGGCUCACCCCUUUGCGAUUGUUGGCUUGCCAGUCAGGUAAGGAGCAUAGCCCAGAUGGCAGCUGCCACCCUCCUACCUCGACGGCUAUGCUCCAUCUUCACUGUCAGAGGCAACAUGCCUCUGAAUACCAGUUGCUGGAAACCUCAAGAGGAGAAAGUGCUCUUGUGCUUGAGUCCUGCUUGUGGGUUUCUCACAGGCAUCUGGGUAGACACCGUGAGAACAAGAUGCUGGAUAAGAUGGGUCUGUUCUUAUGUCCUUCUCCAUUUGUCAUUGCAUAGGGACUGUGAAGGCUUAAAAUGACCACUUGGAAGUCAAAAGCAGAGGCAAUGCACAUGUUCCCUUCCCCCUCCUAAUUCAUAGAAUAGGGGGCUUAUAUAUCAGUUCCAUACAUCACUUUAUAAUAGAAAAAAAUUAAGCUGGGGACCAUAACUUUAGUUUAAGCAGCACACACUCUUAAGUUCAACAGUUUCUUCCUUCUCCACCUCUGAAUAAAGCAAGCAGGAAGGAACAGGACAAGAAGGAGUGAUAAAAAUAGAGCAAUAGUUUUCCUAGACAGAGAAAGAUACAGGCAUGUCUGCAUUUGGUUUAAGGGAACGAGGGGGUUGUAAUGCAGUGUUUGAGCUCACAUACGUUUUUUCAAGGGUGUCUUACUUUCUUGGUCCUCAUUUGCAGAUUUGCCGGUCAGCAGCACUGGUGAUGCCGUUGACACAGGAAGUCAUCAGAGACCCUGUGCGGUGCAAUGUCUUCUUUUACAAGUUGUGCAUCCCAUGUGUCGAGUUUUGGGUUGCUGUAACACACCUGGAGCUACACUUCUGGAAUGCCACUAUCUUUGAAACGGCCAUGAUUUCGCUGUUCCCAAUCAGUGUUUGUCUAAUACAAUCCUCAGCCUGUGACUUUGAACUGAUUUUCCUUUUUGCUCAAGAGCACCAUUUGUAAUUGUAAUUCCAUCUUAGAUGUGAAAUCUACAUCUUCAAUAAGCAUGGAGACAGCACACCCACUUAGGCUGGUUUCCAUAGGAACUAUGAGAGGGGAGAGGGCAAGAGAAAAUGCUUUCCCUCUCCCUCAAAACCAUAUUUCAUCAUUAGUGUAAAGAGAAAGCUACUUACUUCCCCACUCACUAUAAACUUCAUCCACUAUACCUGAUCCUGCAUAGUGGUGCAAGUAAUUAGCAUGAUCCACUAAAAUUCUUAUGCACGUUCAAAUUGAAGCAUUCCCAUAAUGACAUUGUUAGGACUUCUGUGCUCAUCUUCAAGCCUGCUUUUGAGUGUUUAAUUGGAACCAGUUGAAAUGAUUAGCUCCUUCAGAGAGAAAAUCCUUUUACUGAUAGUAAAUACAGCUUGCAUUCUGCAAGCAAGUUCAAUAACCUCCAACACCCGGUAUGAGAGCCAUGAAAGUAUAACUCUAUAACCCUCUGUUCUGUGCCACAUGUGGCUUGUUCUGAAUAUAGAUAAUUCCCUCACUUGCUGACAUCAGAUGCAAUUGUGUGAGAGUUGUUGCUUUAGGUAGCCGAAACAGCAACACAAGCGAUAUACCCCCUGGGGUUGUCUUUACCCGGGGGUGCAAAGGGUGCAGGGCACCCGGGCGCCAAAUUCUGGCAGGCGCCAGGUGCCCGCCACUGAAGCUGCCUAAGCUCUUAACUAUCUACCUGUUAUGAAAAAAUAAAUAAUUUUGAUCAAGCUAGAAAAACAAAAUACAUAUAUACCUAGGUAUUACCGAAAUGUAUACCUACUAUUUCACUAAAGGACUUUCGCCUUUUGCGCUCAUUUACCCAAGAUGUGCCGUGCCAGCAGUGGCGCUUGUCAUUCACAAUGGCGGCACUUGUCAGACUCAAUGACAGUGUUUAUCAUUCUCAAUGGCGCAGUGCACGCAAAAUUAACUCUUACAUCAAAAUAUUAUGUUACGUAUUGUACUGAGCUGCGCUGCUAUGCAGCAGUGGGGUCAACAGCACCUUUGACACGACUGAUGUUUCUCCUAAGCAGGUGCCUAAACAAUACUUACAAGUUUAAGUGUGAUGGUGUUGUAUACUUAAGUAUAAGUGUAUUCUAAAUAAAUGAG